UGCUGGAGUGCGGCAGCCGAGGAUUUGACCUGUACUCCGGCGUAUAGGGGGCGCUGCAGCGACAGGUGUGGAUGAUCCGUCCACCCCACUUGUUUGUGCUGUAUAAACAGGGAACAUGAACCACAGAGCAUGAGGUCGGCCUGCAGAGGGCGCUGUAAUGACAGAUCUCCUUAUCCCCCUGGCUCCCUCUCCGCAGACAUGUCAGCUGUAGAACUAUGAGAGCGGUUUGGUAAUAGAGCGAAUGCCGGGAAUUGCUGAGCUCCCACUACCAGGAAGAGUUUUUUUUCUGCUUUAAUCCUUGCGUAAAGUUUUGUGCUGUAAUGAUUAACAGGAGGAUCCUUGAACUGCUUGUUUUAUAGUUUUACCGAUUUGCCUGCAUGUCUUCUCAUUGUGCUUGUCUUGCGUGCAGACCAGACUAUUCAUAAGGAUCCUGAAUGAAUGCACCAGACGAGUCAAUAAGUGCCCUUCAUGAUGCAGCUGAGAGCCCCUGUACUGCUUCCUCCUUGUCGGCACUGUGGCCGUCUUCUGUAAAGAAAACAAAGGCCAUAUAUCUGUUGUCCUCCUUGGGGCUACUGGUGACUUGGCCAAGAAAUACCUGUGGCAGGGUCUGUUUCAGUUAUAUCUCAAUGAGGUUAGUAGGGGCCACAGCUUUAGCUUCCAUGGAGCUGCUCUGACUGCACCAGAAAAGGCAGAGACCUUACUAUUUAAUGCAUUGAAGUCUCUGACCUGUCCGAAGAUGUUCACCCAGAUAGGUGUGCCCUGUCAAAGACCAGUUUCUAAAACUGACCCGCUACAGACAGCUGAAGACUGCUGAAAAUUACACAGCCUUGCACCAGGACAUAUUGACUUCACUGGCUGAAGAGGGACUCCAUGAAGCCGGCAGAUUAUUCUACUUAUCAGUUCCACCAUUUGCGUAUGCAGAAAUUGCACAAAACAUCAAUGCGAGCUGUCGGCCGCCACCUGGCGCAUGGCUGCGGGUAGUGCUGGAGAAACCUUUUGGUCAUGACUACGAGUCUGCAGAGCAGCUGGCCAAUGUUAUGCAGACGUUCUUCAGAGAAGAAGAGAUCUACAGGGUUGACCAUUACCUAGGAAAACAGGUGAGAUAAAGCCCGCUUUCUGCUGGUAACUAUAAUAUGCAGAGAGAGAACAGAGGACACAGACGCUAUCACAGUGCUGUUA